ACUGUAAUGUGAGAGGGCCUUUGUGUUAGACUGGUUUUCCUGUGCUCAAUGCAUUCAUAUUUUUCCAUUGCAAUUAAAUGCAUCUUGAAAGAUAAUAACCAGAGCAAAAUAGAGCGGAGGCCAAAGGUCCAAUUUCUAAAUGUGGUCGGAGAACAGUCAGCCACUUCUCCAGGUAAUCUCAGCAAAGCACUAAAAAGGCAGUGGAUCACUCUGCUUGCUGUCAUGCAGCUGAACCACAGAUUCAUUACAGCUACUGUUAAUUUCAGAUGGGAGGGAAACAGGAGAAAAAAAAACAAAACAGAGAAAAUAAAGAACCAGCAAAGCAGACCUUUGAAAGUGCACAGAAAGAAAGGACAACAAUCACAGACACUUCAUUUCCAGUUGGGAACAAAUACAGGCUGGUACUGCCUGGGCUGAAGACAACAGAAAUUUGGACCAUGGGACACCAAAUCCUCCCUUUUGAUGAAGGAGCACGAAGAAAGAGAAAGUGCAAGAGGACGCUCCUAAUGGGGAGAGUCAGCAGGCAACUGUGUGCUCAAAGCAAGGGGCUGCUUCUACUCUUGGGUCUGAGCUUGGGCAUACAGUUGCAAAUAAAACCUGGCUACAAUUGGGAGAUGUUUAUUUGUCCAUGUGCAUGGAUUGGUUUUAAUAUGUAGAAAACCUUCACAUACAGGAAAAGUGCCUUAGUGAGAUUGUAGUGAUUGGCUAGUAUGCAGUGGUGCUUGAACCUAACCUGUGAAUUCACAGGAGCCCAGAGCUUCCCCUACCCGGUCUACAUCCCUGCGCUCACUGUCUCAGGGGACAUUUCAAAGAGAUUUGGAAAGCAGCUGAACUGGAGGCAGCAAGACCACAGAAGACAGAGAGCUGAAUCAACAACUGGAGUGAGAAAACUCUAAGGUGAAGAACAUAUUUCUCCAUGAAAUACACUGAAGGGCACAGUAUGUGAUAUUAACGGAUAUACUGCUUCUAUUUUACAUCCCUGGGGAGUAGUCUCUCCACAUUCCAUAGCAUUACAGUUCCACUCUGCUUAUCAGCCAGCCAUGAUAAAGGAACAACGUUGUCCUAAUGGAAAUGUUGCAUUUCCUUUAUCAUACUGCAGCAGCAAUUGUGAUAAUAGUUAUGUCUUGCUAUAAAAAAAUAAAGUUAGUAAAAUCAGAAAUGGAAAGGAGAGAGAUAAGUCCUGUUUUCUCAGUACUCAUGUGUUUACCUACUUUUCUAUAUAUAAAUUAAGGUUAUACUGAACUAUUACAACUCAUAUUCUUAACUUACUAAAUCAAAUCAUAAGCUUCAGAUUAGUAGAGAACUGCACGUUUAACACAAAACCACACUUAGGUUUAACUUAACAGUUUAUCCACAGAAAUUGAGCAUUCUUAAUUAUGCACAGAUUCUGUCACCUUGUAUUAAAUUGGAAGAUGAAAAAAUUAAAUGCUUGUCAUUAACAUGUCAAAUUGGAUCAGAGGAGACAUCAGUUUGAAGAAGUCAAGGUUCGCUUAGUGCUUCUGAGAUAGAAAGGUAAAUGCAUAUAAUUACGUCAAUAUUUAGACGUAAAGCUGCCAAUCUGAAUUAUAAAUAUGUAAAACUCUCCACUCAGCUUUCACAGUGCCAAAAUCAACCAACUAUCAGUAUCUUAGAUGUCUGUUUAACACAUUUCUGAUGAAUGAAACUCUGAAUCCUGAAACUGCCUGAAAAGCAGUAGAGGGUAUUAUUUUUGUUUAGGUGACCUGCUUAGGAAUUUAUAUUAGUGAACAGCAGGUCUCUUGAAGUCAUUACAGAGCAACAUUUCCAGAAUCAGAAAAUCUAAAAUAAAUGACCAGCUGGGCCUGAUGGUCUUGCUACCUGUGUCACAGAAUCAGCUCAUCAGCAAUGCCUAGAAAUUCCUUUUUCUAUUGCUUAAGCAGUACCCCUCAUGCACAUGUAAAGUGAGUGAUCUUAUGAUGAUUCCUGUGGUUCAUGACCAAGAAUAGGGAAAAUACAUGAAUCUACUAAAUUGCUCCCAGGAGGCCUUUCGUUUCAAUGUUAAAUCAAGUUUCAAUGAAUGCUGGAAGCAAUAAACCACAGUCACACAUGCUAUGCAGUCAUUAACGUGGACAUGCAAAAAUUAAUUAGAGAGACUGUUUUGCUGAGGUUGACACACACACAAAUAAUUCUGCCUUUACUCAACUACUAUUUUCUCUUGUCACUUUGGCUUCCUGGUGUGCUUUCUUCAUUCCUGUGCUGCUUCCCUUAGGAAGAUGCAUUAAAAAACAAAAAGAGCCUUAUAAGAGCCUUCUACUUUGCUUGUAGUUUCUCUUAGAAGUUCUUGGGCAUGUUUUUGGCCUUCCAUUUCUGAUAGACCUAAGUGGAAUCAGGUGGUUAAUCCUAUGCCAUUUACUUCUUGAUGGCUCCUCAAUUGUAAAAAAAAAUAUGACAAAUGAGGUAGCAUCAUGCAAUGUGGGAAAUAACAGUUUAUGAAUAUAAAUUUCACCAGAGUGUCCAGAGCCAUGCUAGAGCAUACUAUGCUCUCCCACAAGUGGCAUUAACCACCCCCUUUGCCUGUCACACAGGUUUGUCCCUCUGUUAACGUGGUUUUGGGGGCAACCAAAGAAAGUGCUGCAAAAUGGUAACUAGUGGCAAAAGAAAGACUUGCAGUAAGGGACUGCUCCCCCGAGAUGGGCUUCAGCCUCUCUAUAGGAAGCUGCUGCCCUCUGAACUCUAAUCCUGCUUGUGAGCUGAAGCUCUGUGGGAUGCACUAAAAGCCUCCGUUCAUUUCCUGGUUACGUUCAGGUUAUGUUGAAAGGAGAAGGUGUAUGAAUCAAGGGUGUACCUCAUAUAAGACCUGACAAACGAGGGAGGGGAGGCUUGAGUGGCUUCCCUAUUCACACUAAGGACCAGCUGCUUUGAUCUGCUGAUACCAGCUCCUAUUUUAGCAGUCACUAGGGACAGGAAUACCUUGUCCUUGGAGCAGGAACAGAGUGAACUUGGCAGAAGCUCAACUCUGUAAGGCUGUGAGGAUGUAGGGCAUGCACUUUGCAGCACAAGACUUCCAUCACAUGGCCUGCACAAGAGCCCACUACAGGGCUCUGAAUUGUUUUAAUGCAAGUAGCGUAUAUUGGUCUUGAACACAGAAAUUACAUGCUUGUUGCAGCAACUACCGUUUCAUGAGACACAUCUCUAGCAGCCACAGAAUCCUUUUUAAUGAGAUGCACUCAAAAAGAUAAGGCAGCUAUUUUCCACUGUAGUUGAGUGGGAGUUGUCUUUUGUAGAAAUACGUUGUUCCCAACUCAUUUCUGGCUUGUGCACUAACAGGCAAAGAGCACCCUCUCUGUUUCUGGAUUUUCUCCACAUGUUGGCCAGACUAUCAUGUAAUACUUGAUCGGGAAAACAAGGAAACACUGUUUUAAACAUGUUAGACCUUUAAUUUAAAACUAUUCUUUGCUACCUUGCUUCCCCUUGCAAAGUUGCCAAACAGAUAGAUAUUUGAGUUCUGGGAGCAGAAACUCAGUUCACAGUAAAUAAGAAAGCAGCCUUUCAAGAACAGCUUGCACUUGGUAAGGGGUAGAUACACACUGGCUGCUUGCCCAGAGGUUCUCUUUUGCCUCAAGAGGGACAGAAAAAGGGAAGGACACAGUGAAUCUUUACUGUUAAUUAUACAAGGGGUAAGGAAGAUGCUAGAAAAAUGAUACACUGCUAUUGUACUGAGGAAACAAGGGUUUCAUAUUCCAAGUGCAGUUCUGUUAACUCUUCAUAUCUUCUACAUAUACUUGUACAGAAGAAUUUCACAUCCAUUAAGAGUCAUUUACAGCAAAAUGGUAGCAGACAGGCAAAUCUGUUCUACCCGUGACAUGUAUUUACAGAUCUAGUGGUUACUGCCUUAGGGGUGUUAGAGUUAUGCGAAUCCCUGCUUAGUAAGGGAACAAGAAUGCCAUAUAUAUAUUUUCAUUAAAACUGUCUGAUUUCUGUUGUUGUGAUUGCUGCCUUAUGAAUCAUUUCUUUCAAACAAAAAAUGUUCCAGGACUGCUUCUAUCUCCAGAGCCAUCUAGGACUAGGAUGCCUCCAGCCUGAGUUAUGCAGUGUCCAGCAGAAUCCUUUGCUGUGUACUAUGGAGAGUAGAGUAUGGUAUAACAUCAGAUUUAAGGAGCAGAAAAAUGAUAAAAAUAGAUCAAUAGGCAAUUCUGGUGUUAGUCUAAUAGUUAGAAAAGGAAUAUUUAGUUCUUAAAUUUUUGAAGUUGGAAGAAAAUUUGAUUUUCUAAAUUGUUCCAGCUCACCAUGUAUGAUUACAGCAUACCACAUUUAGGCUUCAUAAAGGCAUAGGGAGACAACAAAGGAAGUUUAUUACUACAAUGUAGAUGUACAAACUGUGCCAUGGCUAUGGCACGUACGGUUAUUUUCCAUUCUAGCAGACUUUGUACUGCUCAGGCAAGCAGAAUAAGUUAAGACUGUAACUGAUUUUCUUUUUCACGUGGAUCAUUACUUCAUUUUUUGAAUUUUUGUUUUGAGCAUUUUUUCUUUACUGCAAGAUCUGUUUUCCAGCAAUUUGCUAUGUUUUAGUUCAAGUACUUAAUAAAUCCUAUAUCUGACCG